rnacentral:rRNA from 1 species
UACGACGGGAGCUAGCGUUGUUCGGAAUCACUGGGCGUAAAGCGCACGUAGGCGGACGUGUCAGUCAGGGGUGAAAUCCCGGAGCUCAACUUCGGAACUGCCUUUGAUACAGCACGUCUUGAGUCCGGAAGAGGUGGGUGGAAUUCCUAGUGUAGAGGUGAAAUUCGUAGAUAUUAGGAAGAACACCGGUGGCGAAGGCGGCCCACUGGUCCGGUACUGACGCUGAGGUGCGAAAGCGUGGGGAGCAAACAGG